GCCUCAGUCAGACCCAUGAGGAGGAGAGAGGAUCCUGAAGCCAAGUGGACUCCAGACUGGGAAGGCAAAUGUGCAACGAAGACACCUGGAUGGGGAGCACUACUAAUUUCUGGACAGUUCAGUACACCUCACACACCAUUGGAGAACAGAAGUCUAAGCAGCAAAGCAGAGGAUGAAGGAGCUGCAGAAGCAGUGUUCCCAUCAUGGCCUGGCACCACUAUUCCAGAAUGCUGCUGAAGUGAGGGAACCACUGGCAAACUUGACAUGCUUCACGGAUAUAGUGCUUUGUAUACAAAGACCCAGGACAGAAGCAAGAGGACAGCUGGCUUCUAGAGUGCUAAGCACCCCAAAAAUAAAAGAGGCAAUUUACAAUUUUUACUAAUAAUUUGCUAAGUAUUAACAAUUCGAUAAUAAAAACAGCUACUAUUACACAUUGUUUCAAUCAAUUUUUAUUGAGCACCUGCUAUAUGCCAGACAACUGUGCACUGUGAAUACAAUGAUUAAGAAAACAGUAAGCAAAGACAGACUUCUUGCCUUGGGGAGUUUUUGAUGUACUUAAGGGGAACAAGGGGAACACAGAAUUAAUCAAAGAAACAUAAAGGUAAAAUUACAACCACAUUAACUGCUACAAC